UGCGGGAUCGUCUAAUGGCAGGACAGCGGUUUUUGGUGCCGUCGGUCAAGGUUCGAAUCCUUGUCCCGCAGCCA
rnacentral:tRNA from 1 species